GUAGGGAAUAUUGCGCAAUGGACGAAAGUCUGACGCAGCGACGCCGCGUGAGUGAUGAAGGCCUUAGGGUCGUAAAGCUCUGUUGAAUCGGAAGAAAAAAAUGACGGUACCAUUCGAGGAAGGACCGGCUAACUUCGUGCCAGCAGCCGCGGUAAUACGAGGGGUCCUAGCGUUGUUCGGAAUCAUUGGGCGUAAAGGGUGUGUAGGUGGCCAUGUAAGUCAGGUGUGAAAGCCCCGGGCUCAACCCGGGAAGUGCACUUGAUACUGCGUGGCUUGAGUACCGAAGAGGGUAGUGGAAUUCCAGGUGUAGUGGUGAAAUACGUAGAUAUCUGGAGGAACACCGGUGGCGAAGGCGGCUACCUGGUCGAGUACUGACACUGAGACACGAAAGCAUGGGGAUCAAACAGGAUUAGAAACCCUAGUAGUCC
rnacentral:rRNA from 1 species